rnacentral:piRNA from 1 species
UAAGACUAUGUAUGCCUUGCAGCCUGAUC